rnacentral:rRNA from 1 species
GACGAACGCUGGCGGCGUGCUUAACACAUGCAAGUCGAACGAAGUGGCGAACGGGUGAGUAACGAGUAAUCAACCUGCCCUUCAGAGGGGGACAACAGUUGGAAACGACUCCUAAUACCGCAUACUGAAGGAGGGGAUUGCGGCAGAUUAGCUAGUUGGAGGGGUAACGGCCCACCAAGGCGAUGAUGAGUAGCCGGUCUGAGAUGAUUACCCGCCACACUGGGACUCAGACACGGCCCCGACUCCUACGGGAGGCAGCAGUGGGGAAUCUUCCGCAAUGGACGAAAGUCUGACGGAGCAACGCCGCGUGAUGGAUGACGGCCUUCGGGUUGUAAAGCUCGGUUAAUCGGGACGCGGUACCGGAAUAGAAAGCCACGGCUAACUACGUGCCAGCAGCCGCGGUAAUUC